UACCAGCUCUCCGAGUGGUGUGGAUGUUUAUUGGGCCUAAAGCAUCCGUAGCUGGCUGAGUUAGUCCCCUGUUAAAUCCACCGAAUCAAUCGUUGGAUUGCGGGGGAUACUGUUCGGCUAGGGGACGGGAGAGGCAGACGGUAUUUUCGGGGUAGGGGUGAAAUCCUAUAAUCCCGGGAAGACCACCAGUGGCGAAGGCUGUCUGCUAGAACGCGCCCGACGGUGAGGGAUGAAAGCUGGGGUAGCGAAC
rnacentral:rRNA from 1 species